rnacentral:miRNA from 1 species
AUGAGAGAGAGAGAGAGAGUGAGAGAGAGAGAGAGAGAGAUAGAGAGAGAGAUAGAGAGAGAGUAGAAUAGAAUGUAUUCUUAAAAAUUAAAAAACGGUUAUUUAGGUAGGUACAACCUAUUUAUGUCGAGGUCUUCUGUUUUUCUUAUUUCUUACUAUAAAUUCUAGUAUCAUCCUUCUAUCUCUCUCUCUCUCUCUCUCUCUCUCUCUCCCUCUCUCU